rnacentral:rRNA from 1 species
AUUGAACGCUGGCGGCAUGCUUUACACAUGCAAGUCGAACGGUAACAGGCCGCAAGGUGCUGACGAGUGGCGAACGGGUGAGUAAUGCAUCGGAACGUGCCCAGUCGUGGGGGAUAACGCAGCGAAAGCUGCGCUAAUACCGCAUACGAUCUAUGGAUGAAAGCGGGGGACCGUAAGGCCUCGCGCGAUUGGAGCGGCCGAUGUCGGAUUAGGUAGUUGGGGGGGUAAAGGCUCACCAAGCCGACGAUCUGUAGCUGGUCUGAGAGGACGACCAGCCACACUGGGACUGAGACACGGCCCAGACUCCUACGGGAGGCAGCAGUGGGGAAUUUUGGACAAUGGGCGCAAGCCUGAUCCAGCAAUGCCGCGUGCAGGAAGAAGGCUUUCGGGUUGUAAACUGCUUUUGUACGGAACGAAAAGGCUCUGGUUAAUACCUGGGGCUCAUGACGGUACCGUAAGAAUAAGCACCGGCUAACUACGUGCCAGCAGCCGCCGUAAUAC